GGGGGAGCGGCCGAAGCGAGCGGGGCGGUGCCUGUGGAAUCACCUCGGCAGCGCGGCCGGGCUCGUUCCUUUUGCGCCCCCGCCGCCGUGAGGACAAGGAGCGGCUCUGGGCUCUGGCGGGCCGGGCUCCCUCAGCUCGCCGCCGUGAGGGCAAGGAGCGGCUCUGGGCUCUGGCGGGCCGGGCUCCCUCAGCUCGCCGCCGUGAGGGCAAGGAGCGGCUCUGGCGGGCCGGGCUCCCUCAGCUCGCCGCCGAGAGGGCAAGGAGCGACUCUGGCGGGCCGGGUCCCCUCGCCAUGAGGGGCCACCGCCGCCAUGAGGCCUUCGGCCGAUGGGGGAAUCGCGGUGACCCGCAGCCGUGGGGGGCGGGAGCCGCCCGAAGGAGCAGCCCUGAGGUGGCCCGGCCGCGCCGUGUGUGAAACCCCCGAGCUGUGCUGUGCUGGGACAGCCAAGGAGGCUCUCCAGGAGGGCACUAGAGCCUGCGGAGAGAUGUGAAGGGAUAACCUGCCUAUGAGACAAAGGGAGAGCUCUGGAGCCACGUGGGUGAGGUAAAUUGUUGGUGUGGGGCUUGCUGGAGCAGCAGGAGUGGUCAGAAGUAAAGCUGUCAAGGCUGCUUUGAAGAGCCUUGUUUGAAAGGCAUUGGGAAGAUGGAAACCUGGAGCCAAUAGUUUAAACAGGGCAGCUGGAGAAGAAUUUGUUUUCAGAAUGUGGAUGUAGAAUUGGAAAAAUCAAAGGUGGUUUGGGGCAAGAUAUAACAACAAUUAUGUGUACAAUUCAUUGUUAAUCUCCUCUCAUUGCUUGUUGGAAAUACAUUUUUAUAUGACCUCAAUUAAAUGUAUUUAUAUUUAA